GUGCCUAACACAUGCAAGUCGAGCGAUUCUCUUCGGAGAAGAGCGGCGGACGGGUGAGUAACGCGUGGGUAACCUGCCCUGUACACACGGAUAACAUACCGAAAGGUAUGCUAAUACGAGAUAAUAUACUUUUAUCGCAUGGUAGAAGUAUCAAAGCUCCGGCGGUACAGGAUGGACCCGCGUCUGAUUAGCUAGUUGGUAAGGUAACGGCUUACCAAGGCGACGAUCAGUAGCCGACCUGAGAGGGUGAUCGGCCACAUUGGAACUGAGACACGGUCCAAACUCCUACGGGAGGCAGCAGUGGGGAAUAUUGCACAAUGGGCGAAAGCCUGAUGCAGCAACGCCGCGUGAGCGAUGAAGGCCUUCGGGUCGUAAAGCUCUGUCCUCAAGGAAGAUAAUGACGGUACUUGAGGAGGAAGCCCCGGCUAACUACGUG
rnacentral:rRNA from 1 species